rnacentral:rRNA from 1 species
AUUGAACGCUGGCGGCAGGCCUAACACAUGCAAGUCGAGCGAGCGGCGGACGGGUGAGUAAUGUCUGGGAAACUGCAUGAUGGAGGGGGAUAACUACUGGAAACGGUAGCUAAUACCGCAUACCAUCAGAUGUGCCAAGAGGGGAUUAGCUAGUAGGUGGGGUAACGGCUCACCUCGGCGACGAUCACUAGAUGGUCUGAGAGGAUGACCAGCCACACUGGAACGGAGACACGGUCCAGACUCCUACGUGAGGCAGCAGUGGGGAAUAUGGCACAAGGGGCGCAAGCCUGAUGCAGCCAUGCGGCGUGUGUGAAGAGGGCCUGCGGGUUGUAAAGCACUUUCAGCGGGGAGGCGUUACCCGCAGAAGAAGCACCGGCUAACUCCGUGCCAGCAGCCGCGGUAAUUC